rnacentral:rRNA from 1 species
CAGUCGCCGCGGUAAUACGAGGGGGGCAAGCGUUGUUCGGAUUUAUUGGGCGUAAAGGGUGCGUAGGCGGUUUGGCAAGUCUUGUGUGAAAUCUUCGGGCUCAACCCGAAGCCUGCACGAGAAACUACCGGGCUUGAGUAUUGGAGAGGUGAGUGGAAUUUCCGGUGUAGCGGUGAAAUGCGUAGAUAUCGGAAGGAACACCUGUGGCGAAAGCGGCUCACUGGACAAUAACUGACGCUGAUGCACGAAAGCUAGGGGAGCAAACAGGAUUAGAUACCCGCGUAGUCCCUGUCUCUUAUAA